GACUUUUGGACAAUGGGGGCAACCCUGAUCCCGCCAUCCCGCGUGUGUGAAGAAGGCCUUUUGUUUGUCAACCUCUUUCAGCAGUAAAGAAGACUCCAUGCUUAAUACCCAUUGACGAUGAGACUAACUGCCGAAUAAUCACCGGCUAACUCUGUGCCAGCAGCCGCGGUAAUACAGAGGGUGGAAGCGUUAAUCGGAAUUACUGGGCGUAAAGCGAGCGUAGGUGGCUUGAUAAGUCAGAGGUGAAAAACCCGGGAUUAACAUGGGAACGGCAUCUGAAACUGUUAGGCUAGAAUAGGUGAGAGGAAGGUAGAAUUCCAGGUGUAGCGGUGAAAUGCGUAGAGAUAUGGAGGAAUACCGAUGGCGAAGGCAGCCUUCUAGCAUCAUAUUGACACUGAGGUUCGAAAGCGUGGGUAGCAAAC
rnacentral:rRNA from 1 species